GACGAACGCUGGCGGCGUGCUUAACACAUGCAAGUCGAGCGGAAAGGCCCUUCGGGGUACUCGAGCGGCGAACGGGUGAGUAACACGUGAGUAACCUGCCCCAGACUUUGGGAUAACCCUCGGAAACGGGGGCUAAUACCGGAUACGACACAGCUUCGCAUGGGGUCUGUGUGGAAAGUUUUUCGGUUUGGGAUGGGCUCGCGGCCUAUCAGCUUGUUGGUGGGGUGAUGGCCUACCAAGGCGACGACGGGUAGCCGGCCUGAGAGGGCGACCGGCCACACUGGGACUGAGACACGGUCCAGACUCCUACGGGAGGCAGCAGUGGGGAAUAUUGCACAAUGGGCGGAAGCCUGAUGCAGCGACGCCGCGUGAGGGAUGACGGCCUUCGGGUUGUAAACCUCUUUCAGCAGGGACGAAGCGUAAGUGACGGUACCUGCAGAAGAAGCGCCGGCCAACUACGUG
rnacentral:rRNA from 1 species